rnacentral:misc_RNA from 1 species
GAAAUAAACCUGAUGGGUUGUUGCUGGCUCUCUAGGGGGCAUGUGCACAUCUUGUCAUCUUUAUGUCUCCACCUGUGCACUUUUUGUAGACCUUUCAGGUCUAUGUUGCUUCAUUUACCCCAAUGUAUGUUAAUAGAAUGUUGUGACUAUAUAAUUUAUACAACUUUCAGCAACGGAUCUCUUGGCUCU